UACGCCGCUCAAGCUCGUGGAAAAAUCCCACCGCCCAGCCUCUGUCUUCCACCUCCGUCCGUCGUCCCUCUCCCUGAGCCUCUUCCCCAGCCGCGCCAUGCUCGGUUCCCCCUGCGUCACACGCCUGGCUUGCUCCCUGCUCGGCGUUCUCCUCCCCUGCUUCUAUGGCGGCUGAGCUCCCUCUGCUAGCGCGUCCCUUGCUCCUCCCAGCCGGCCGAGCUCCUGCUUCCCCUCCGUGGAGCACGCCCCUGCUCCUACUCCCCGAGCUCGCCCCUGCGCUCGGAUUUUCUCCCUCGGCCAUGGUGGCCACGCGCCCUUCCUGCUCGCCCUUCGCUCGGCCGCCUCUCCCUAGUCUCCCAUGGCGCGCAUUUCCCUGGCCGCGACCUCGCCAUGGCUAUCACAUCUUCUCGUGCUGCUGUGCGUUUGUCGAUGUUUUAGUCAUCGCCCAGCUCGCUGAUGGCCAGGCUGUUCGCCUUCGAUUAGCUCACCAUGACGCCAACAUCUAGCCCUGGCUCCAGUCUCCUCGCCACGAAAGCACAACCACUACUUAUUGUGUUGAUGUCGUAUGUGUGGCGUCAUCGUGGGUUGUCCUCGUUCAUCGUCAUGUCGUGUGUGCAACAACGUCGCUGUUCCUCCAUGGUGCUUGUCGACGAACUUCGCUUCAUCAGUUUCUCGCCUUCGGUUCGGCUCACGUAUGCACGCCGAACGCGUUCGCCGCUUGACCCUAUGUCACUAGAGCUCGUGACCUCAACAUCGUUAGAGUCCUCACUAGAUUCGUGUCCUCGCCAGAGCUCGCGCUAACCUGCUCGACUACACCUCGCCAGCUCGCUCCAGACUCGAUCUCGUCGUCGUUCUGUGUGUCAUCAAGAAAACCCAAGAGUCAGGUGAAGACGAAGCUAGCAGCAUGAUGUUCACCAAGUACUCGACGCAAGGGCUGAACUAGAAUCCUUGUCGUAUUCACGGAUAGAGCGUCAGAUUUAGUAUAGUAAGCCGAUUCAUAUUUCUGUUAGCUUAAUUAUUGGUUUGAUGAAUAAAUUGUAUACAUAAGUAUGAAGUGGUCGUGUCACACGAAAUUCAAGUUUAAAAUGAUUAUUGUGUGAGGAGUGGUUAAGUGAAUAAUAAGUCUAGUGUCUCGCUCAUAUAGCUGAUAAAUGCAUUCGUGGUUAUAUUAAA